GACGAACGCUGGCGGCGUGCUUAACACAUGCAAGUCGAACGGAAAGGCCCUGCUUUUGUGGGGUGCUCGAGUGGCGAACGGGUGAGUAACACGUGAGUAACCUGCCCUUGACUUUGGGAUAACUUCAGGAAACUGGGGCUAAUACCGGAUAGGAGCUACUGCUGCAUGGUGGGGGUUGGAAAGUUUCGGCGGUUGGGGAUGGACUCGCGGCUUAUCAGCUUGUUGGUGGGGUAGUGGCUUACCAAGGCUUUGACGGGUAGCCGGCCUGAGAGGGUGACCGGCCACAUUGGGACUGAGAUACGGCCCAGACUCCUACGGGAGGCAGCAGUGGGGAAUAUUGCACAAUGGGCGGAAGCCUGAUGCAGCAACGCCGCGUGCGGGAUGACGGCCUUCGGGUUGUAAACCGCUUUCACCUGUGACGAAGCGUGAGUGACGGUAAUGGGUAAAGAAGCACCGGCUAACUACGUG
rnacentral:rRNA from 1 species